rnacentral:lncRNA from 1 species
AUCAUUUUCUCUUUAUGCAAUGUUCUGUAAGACCACUGUGUUAGCAUGACCAAUUAUUAGACAGCCAGAAUACCCUAACCCUGCACCCUCCUACGUGGCGACAGGAAUGUUGACACUCUGAUUGUGGACGUGUUCCCGGUGUUGGACACGCCAGCCAAGCAGGUGAUCUGGCGGUUUGUCUACCAGCUUCUGACCUACGAAGAGCAGGAGCACUGCCAGAGCAAGAUUUCACGUUUCCUCGGUUACAAGGCUGCAGGUGGGUUGUGGGAAGUGUGGUUGUGUGUGUGCUUAUGUGAGUAAAUGUGAUAUCUACGUGUACAUGUGUGAUUUUGGUGGGUGUAUGUGUAGAUGUGAAAGACAACGUAAAUUUGUGAUUGUGCCAGUGUGUCUGCGUGUGUGUGUACACUGACAUACGCACGCUGUGUGUAUUCUAGCGCCAGCCCCCCCACCUGAGCCAGAGCCCGCCCCCGAGCCCCAUCGCCGUAGCAGCUCCAUGAGAGUGACAGGAACCGCCUACAGGGCCAGCAUGCGUGGGCGGAGCUCUGACGACCUCAUCAUUGGCACUCACCUGGGGAUGGGGAUCCGUACUGAUCCAGUGGAGAUGGGGAUGAGGCUGGCUCCAGGAGAGAGACAGUCAGGAGACGGGACGUCCCUCCCAGAGACCCCCAACAACCUCACCAACCUGUCUGCGGUGUAUGCUGAGCUGGAGAACGUGUACUCAGGGAAGAGGUCCAAGUCUCUGAAGGCUCGCGCUCCUCCUCCGGCGGACAGUCUGGUAGAGCUGGAGGUCCUCGAACACGCAGGCUCUCCGUCCAUGCACGCUAACACAGGUAUCUACUCCAACCGGUAACACUUUACUUGAAGUGUUGUUAAUCAUGACGCAUCCAGGAAAAUUUGGUUAAAAUUACGUCAUUAGGGCCUCUCGAGUGGCGCAGUGGUCUAAGGCUGUGCAACUAGAGAUUCUGGGUUCGAG